rnacentral:rRNA from 2 species
AUAGUUAGUAGGAUUAGACGCGAAACCUUGUGAUCUACCCAUGGGCAGGUUGAAGCUUUGGUAACACAAAGUGGAGGACCGAACCGGUUGACGUUGAAAAGUCUUCGGAUGACCUGUGGGUAGGGGUGAAAGGCCAAUCAAACUGGGAGAUAGCUCGUACUCCCCGAAAUGCAUUUAGGUGCAGCGUCGAUGUUAAGUUUAUUAGAGGUAGAGCUACUGAUUGGAUGCGGGGGAGUCAAAUCCUACCAAUUCCUGACAAACUCCGAAUGCUAAUAAAUGUUCGUCGGCAGUGAGGGCAUGGGUGCUAAGGUCCAUGUCCGAGAGGGAAAGAACCCAGACCAACAGCUAAGGUCCCUAAAUAUAUGCUAAGUUGAAACAACGCGGUUGGACUGCAUUGACAGCUAGGAUGUUGGCUUGGAAGCAGCCAUUCAUUUAAAGAGUGCGUAACAGCUCACUAGUCGAGCGGUCCGGCAUGGAUAAUAAUCGGGCAUAAGCAUAUUACCGAAGCUAUGGAUUUAUAAUUAAUUAUAUCUGGUAGGGGAGCAUUCUAUUUGCGCCGAAGCAGUAUCGCGAGGUAUUGUGGAGCGGAUAGAAAAGAAAAUGUAGGCAUAAGUAACGAUAAAGGGGGCGAGAAACCCCCUCACCGAAAGACUAAGGUUUCCUCAGCCAUGCUAAUCAGCUGAGGGUUAGUCGGGACCUAACGCGAACCCGAAAGGGGUAGUGGAUGGACAAUGGGUUAAUAUUCCCAUACUUGCUCACACUAAAAAGGGGACGGAGUGCCGUACUUGCUGGAGACUGACGGAAUAGUCAAGGCCUAGCCUUCGGGCGAAGCUGCUGCAGGGAAAGUGCUUCCAAGAAAAGCCGAAGUGAAGCAACCCGUACCAAAACCGACACAGGUAGUCGAGGAGAGAAUCCUAAGGUGCUCGAGUGAGUCGUGGCUAAGGAACUAGGCAAAAUAGUCUCGUAACUUCGGAAGAAGAGACGCCAACAGCAAUGUUGGCCGCAGUGAAGAGGCCCAGGCGACUGUUUAUCAAAAACACAGGACUCUGCUAAAUCGAAAGAUGCUGUAUAGGGUCUGACACCUGCCCGGUGCUGGAAGGUUAAGGAAGGUGCUUAGAGGUAACUCGAAGGCAUUGACUGAAGCCCCAGUAAACGGCGGCCGUAACUAUAACGGUCCUAAGGUAGCGAAAUUCCUUGUCGGGUAAGUUCCGACCUGCACGAAUGGUGUAACGAUCUGGGCACUGUCUCAGCCACGAGCUCGGUGAAAUUGUAGUAUCGGUGAAGAUGCCGAUUACCCGCAAUGGGACGAAAAGACCCUGUGAACCUUUACUAUAACUUCGUAUUGACUUUGAGUAAGUAAUGUGUAGGAUAGGUGGGAGGCUUUGAAGCAGGCACGCUAGUGUUUGUGGAGCCAACGUUGAAAUACCACCCUUUACUUACUUGGAGCCUAACUUCUUAAAGAAGGACAUUGCGUGGUGGGUAGUUUGACUGGGGUGGUCGCCUCCAAAAGAGUAACGGAGGCUUUCAAAGGUACCCUCAGCACGCUUGGUAACCGUGCGUAGAGUGUAAUGGCAUAAGGGUGCUUGACUGUGAGACCAACAAGUCGAUCAGGUGCGAAAGCAGGACAUAGUGAUCCGGUGGUUCCGUAUGGAAGGGCCAUCGCUCAUAGGAUAAAAGGUACUCCGGGGAUAACAGGCUAGUCUCCCCCAAGAGCUCACAUCGACGGGGAGGUUCGGCACCUCGAUGUCGGCUCGUCACAUCCUGGGGCUGGAGAAGGUCCCAAGGGUUGGGCUGUUCGCCCAUUAAAGUGGCACGCGAGCUGGGUUCAGAACGUCGUGAGACAGUUCGGUCUCUAUCUAUUGCGGGCGUUAGAUGUUUGAGAGGACUUGAUUCUAGUACGAGAGGACCGAAUUGAACAAACCUCUGGUGUAUCAGUUGUACCGCCAGGUGCACCGCUGAGUAGCUAUGUUUGGAAGAGAUAAGCACUGAAAGCAUAUAAGUGCGAAACUCGCCUCAAGAUGAGACAUCUUUUAAGGGUCGUUGGAGAUGACGACGUUGAUAGGCUAUAGGUGUAAAGACAGUAAUGUCAUAGCCAAGUAGUACUAAUUACCCGUAGAUUUAUAGC